rnacentral:rRNA from 1 species
UACAGAGGUCCCAAGCGUUGUUCGGAUUCAUUGGGCGUAAAGGGUGCGUAGGCGGCGCGGUAAGUCGGGUGUGAAAUCUCGGGGCUUAACUCCGAAACUGCAUUCGAUACUGCCGUGCUUGAGGACUGGAGAGGAGACUGGAAUUUACGGUGUAGCGGUGAAAUGCGUAGAUAUCGUAAGGAAGACCAGUGGCGAAGGCGGGUCUCUGGACAGUUCCUGACGCUGAGGCACGAAAGCUAGGGGAGCAAACAGG